rnacentral:rRNA from 1 species
GAUGAACGCUGGCUACAGGCUUAACACAUGCAAGUCGAGGGGAAACGACGGGGAAGCUUGCUUCCCCGGGCGUCGACCGGCGCACGGGUGAGUAACGCGUAUCCAACCUGCCUCUGACUGAGGGAUAACCCGUCGAAAGUCGGCCUAAUACCUCAUGGCAUCGUCUGCGGGCAUCUAACGACGAUUAAAGAUUUCAUCGGUCAGGGAUGGGGAUGCGUCUGAUUAGCUUGUUGGCGGGGUACCGGCCCACCAAGGCUACGAUCAGUAGGGGUUCUGAGAGGAAGGUCCCCCACAUUGGAACUGGGACACGGUCCAAACUGCUACGGGAGGCAGCAGUUAGGAAGAUUGGUGAAGGGGCGGGAGCCUGAACCAGCCAAGUAGGGUGCAGGAUGACGGCCCUAUGGGUUGUAAACUGCUUUUAGGCGGGGAUAAAGUGAGGGACGUGUCCUUCAUUGCAGGUACCGCAUGAAUAAGGACCGGCUAAUUCCGUG